CCUACGGGGGGCUGCAGUGGGGAAUAUUGGACAAUGGGCGAAAGCCUGAUCCAGCCAUGCCGCGUGUGUGAAGAAGGCCUUCGGGUUGUAAAGCACUUUCAGUGGGGAAGAAAGCCUUGGGGCUAAUACCCUCGAGGAAGGACAUCACCCACAGAAGAAGCACCGGCUAACUCCGUGCCAGCAGCCGCGGUAAUACGGAGGGUGCGAGCGUUAAUCGGAAUUACUGGGCGUAAAGCGCGCGUAGGCGGUCUGAUAAGCCGGUUGUGAAAGCCCCGGGCUCAACCUGGGAACGGCAUCCGGAACUGUCAGGCUAGAGUGCAGGAGAGGAAGGUAGAAUUCCCGGUGUAGCGGUGAAAUGCGUAGAGAUCGGGAGGAAUACCAGUGGCGAAGGCGGCCUUCUGGACUGACACUGACGCUGAGGUGCGAAAGCGUGGGUAGCAAACAGGAUUAGAAACCCUGUAGUC
rnacentral:rRNA from 1 species